rnacentral:rRNA from 1 species
GCGCAGCAGGCGCGAAACUCCGCAAUGCGCGAAGCGUGACGGGGAACCCAAGUGCCAACACAACGUGUUGGCUUUCUGGAGUGUAAAAGCUCCAGGAAUAAGGGCUGGGUAAGACCGGUGCCAGCCGCCGCGGUAACACCGGCAGCCCGAGUGGUGUCCGCGUUUAUUGGGCUUAAAGCGUCCGUAGCCGGCCUGUUAAGUCCCCGGUCAAAUCCGGCGGCUUAACCGUCGGUUAUCUGGGGAUACUGGCAGGCUUGAGGCCGGGAGAGGUUAGAGGUACUCCUGGGGUAGGGGUAAAAUCCGAUAAUCCCAGGGGGACCACCAGUGGCGAAGGCGUCUGACUGGAACGGGCCUGACGGUGAGGGACGAAACCCUGGGGAGCGAUCCGGAUUAGA